GACGAACGCUGGCGGCGUGCUUAACACAUGCAAGUCGAACGGAAAGGCCCUGCUUUUGUGGGGUGCUCGAGUGGCGAACGGGUGAGUAACACGUGAGUAACCUGCCCUUGACUUUGGGAUAACUUCAGGAAACUGGGGCUAAUACCGGAUAGGAGCUCCUGCUGCAUGGUGGGGGUUGGAAAGUUUCGGCGGUUGGGGAUGGACUCGCGGCUUAUCAGCUUGUUGGUGGGGUAGUGGCUUACCAAGGCUUUGACGGGUAGCCGGCCUGAGAGGGUGACCGGCCACAUUGGGACUGAGAUACGGCCCAGACUCCUACGGGAGGCAGCAGGGGGGAAUAUUGCACAAUGGGCGGAAGCCUGAGGCAGCAACGCCGCGUGCGGGAUGACGGCCUUCGGGUUGUAAACCGCUUUCGCCUGUGACGAAGCGUGAGUGACGGUAAUGGGUAAAGAAGCACCGGCUAACUACGUG
rnacentral:rRNA from 1 species